GUUGGUAAUCUUAACGAUAAAUGGAUUUUUAAAUUUUGCCCAGAAUAUGGUGGCUUUUACAGUGUUAUCUUUAGUGACUCCACUAAGUUAUGCAGUGGCUUCCGCCACUAAAAGGAUUUUAGUAAUUACAGUGUCUAUAAUGUUCCUGCGAAAUCCCGUCAGUUUGUAUAACGGAGUGGGGAUGUUAGCUGCCAUUUUUGGAGUAUUUCUAUACAACAAGGCAAAAUACGACGCCAACCGCAGAAAACACGAACUACCGACACACAAGAAACACGCCUCACAUUCGAAUAAUGUCACGAACAAUCAUAAAAGUUAUCAUCUUGUAUAAGUUCUUCAAGGCACCGACUCAACGCUUGGGUUUGUAUACGAUGGGCAAGGUUAUCGUUUCUGUUGUGGAAAUGAGGUAAAGAUACUGCUGGCAGUUCUUUUGCAUUCAUACGUCUUUCGUAUCUGAUGAGAAAUUGGAGGGAAUCAGCGCUGAGGAGGUCAUUUCUUGCAGCUUUCGAAGAGAUCGUUUGGUGAAAUCUCCUUACUUAUCACAACAGAAAUAAUUAUUUAGGAGUUUAACAGCUCUAUUACGACUUCAUCUUCUGUAGAAAAAACGUGAUAACUAAAUAGUGUUCUUCAAGAAAAACUUUUACGAAGUCUUUCAAAUGUGAAAUGAGGUUUUUAAAUCUCUUGACCUCGUUUCAACCCUGACAAGAAAGCAUUUGAAGAAGGUAAGAGACGCAUGCGAAGAAAGCAAAACAGAAGCUGUUAAAUGCAUCACACAAUUUGAAUACAGAGAGCAAUUCUGUGGAAUUUACCAUUUCUGAUGAAGAGCCAUCAAUGUAACUUUAAUUUAUACGUUAUCAAGCUCACCAUGGGAUAAUUGUUAAUAAUCUUUAAACCUUCUUGAGGAGGGAAAAUAUAAGAAGAUACAAAGGUUUAGAACGUAGAAACACAUAAAUAAUAUAUAUAUCUGUAAAUUUAUAUUUAUAUUACACCUUUACAAAGUCGUCACGCUUUUAAACCCAACGGGCGUCAAACAAAUCUAUGUUUGAGGCGAAUUUUAGUAACGAACAUUGUUGAAUUUACAGCCGGAGCGCUUUUCGAUUUAGAGUCUUUAGACGGUCGAUGACCAAACUAAAAGAUGUAUUUAAAGGGGGUGUUUUUAGAGAAAAUAAAUUGGGGUAUUGGUUUUA